rnacentral:lncRNA from 1 species
AUGUAGGUGCUGGGAUGCACCGAACCACUAUAUUUUUGUUGUGUUUGUGAUGCUCUUUGUUGUCUGACUUCCUCACUCACUUACUUACUUAGAUACUAAGCUUGCUUAACUCUUCUUCGUGCAUCCUUUAGUUGCAAGCAUAUUCAAUUUACUUAAUCAAGUCUCAUUCAAUUGAAUUGCAUACUUGGGCAAACUUAGACAAAUCUUUUAUUGAAUCCGCUGCUUAAUAGUUGAUUAGAUUAGAAUCAUACUCUUGCUAAGUUUAAAUUUCACUAAGCAUCCAUACAACUUAGCUUAAUUAACUCUAAAAGAUUAGAAGUAGUUUAAAAGUUUUUAAAAGACCCAAUUCACCCCUCCUCUUGGGUUGUCACCUUGGGCAACAAGCAGUCUUUGUCAAAUGUCAUAACAUGACCAUCCUGUGCUAAACAUGAAACAGAAAUCAAAUUCCUGCUAGCAGCAGGGACAUAAUAACAGUCUCUAAGCAAUAAACUAAAUCCAGACGGUAAUCACAGAGGAUAGGUGCCCAC